AUUUAAAGCAGCCACCUCCUCUGUCUACCACAGUGAGCCCUGGCUGAGGUUUCUUGCCGCAGCAGGUGCAGGAAGUCCUCAAGAUGAGUGGCCCCUGAGUCCUGCACUUGACAGGAGGCCUUGAGAUAUCGGCCCAAUCAGAAACUCCAUGACGCUCAGGACGAGGAAGAAGAGGAAGGGGCUGACCGGGAGAGGAGGCAAGAAAGGAACACACCAGGAGAAAAGCUGAUGAAAAGAUACACUCGCAGAGGUUCAGGAGCUGCCUUGCUACCUCGAAAGGAAGAAGACAAAAAGUUCCACCGCUUCAAUUCAGAAAGUGUGUUCCAGCCCUUGGUGACCCCAUCCCGGAGGCACUGGAGGGUGACCAGCUGCCACAGGUUUGCGUUCGGGCAGCUAUCGGGGUACCAAAAUGAAGCUGACUGCUUCGGGGAUGCCCAACAACCAGAGGUGGAAGGUCUUCCAGAGGGUAUUUCUCAUCCAGAACGUGCAAAAGAAGAAAAGAAAAAAGAAAAAGCAGAAAUAAAGUGCAAUAACCAGAAAUGCAUGUGA
rnacentral:lncRNA from 1 species